GAUGAACGCUGGCGGCGUGCCUAAUACAUGCAAGUCGAACGAAGAAGCUAGGUGCUUGCUCCGAGCGGAUGAGCUGCGAACGGGUGAGUAACGCGUAGGUAACCUGCCUGGUAGAGGGGGAUAACUAUGGGAAACGAUAGCUAAUACCGCAUAACAGAAUAAAUCGCAUGAUUCAAUCUUGAAAGACGCAAUUGCUCUCCUAUCUAAAGGAAUCCGGUCGUAUUAGCUAAUUGGUUAGGUAACGGCCUAACAAGGCCAAGAUACAUAACCGACCUGAGAAGGGGGUCGGCCACACUGGGACUGGGACACGGCCCAGACCCCUAAGGGAGGCAGCAGGAGGGAAUCUUCGGCAAUGGAGGGAAGUCUGACCGAGCAACGCCGCGUGAGUGAAGGAGGGUCUCGGAUCGGAAAGCUCCUUUGUAAGAGAAGAACGAAUGGGGUAGGGGAAAAUUCACACUUUGACGGUAUCUAACCAGAAAGGGACGGCUAACUACGUG
rnacentral:rRNA from 1 species